rnacentral:rRNA from 1 species
GAUGAACGCUAGCGGCAGGCUUAACACAUGCAAGUCGAGGGGUAACGUGAGUGCUUGCACUUGACGACGACCGGCGAACGGGUGCGUAACGCGUAUAGAAUCUACCUUGUACAGGAGGAUAGCCCAGAGAAAUUUGGAUUAAUACUCCAUAAUGUUAUGUAGUGGCAUCAUUAUAUAAUUAAAGAUUUAUUGGUACAAGAUGACUAUGCGUCCUAUUAGUUAGAUGGUAAGGUAACGGCUUACCAUGGCAUCGAUAGGUAGGGGGUCUGAGAGGAUUAUCCCCCACACUGGUACUGAGACACGGACCAGACUCCUACGGGAGGCAGCAGUGAGGAAUAUUGGACAAUGGGCGAGAGCCUGAUCCAGCCAUGCCGCGUGCAGGAAGACUGCCCUAUGGGUUGUAAACUGCUUUUAUACAGGAAGAAACCUACUUACGUGUAGUAGCUGACGGUACUGUAAGAAUAAGCACCGGCUAACUCCGUGCCAGCAGCCGCGGUAAUACGGAGGGUGCAAGCGUUAUCCGGAAUCAUUGGGUUUAAAGGGUCCGCAGGCGGUCAAUUAAGUCAGAGGUGAAAUCUCACAGCUUAACUGUGAAACUGCCUUUGAUACUGGUUGACUUGAGUCAUAUGGAAGUAGAUAGAAUAAGUAGUGUAGCGGUGAAAUGCAUAGAUAUUACUUAGAAUACCGAUUGCGAAGGCAGUCUACUACGUAUGUACUGACGCUCAUGGACGAAAGCGUGGGGAGCGAACAGG